CGCGUUCCUAAUUUCGUUUACACAAUAUUUAUAAAGUUAUCUAACUUUUGUUUAGAGUUGAAACACGUAUUUCAGUUGCUCUAAAUACGCCAGACUUCAUUGAAUCCCGGGUAAGCGGGACCAUAUACCAUAUAACUUUAAUUUAAAAUUAAAGCCAGGAUAUUUUGUUGUUAAGAAGAGAAAUACUGCAUGUAUUUGCAAAGGCCUGAUUCCACGACGGCAAAAUUCUUCGCGAGAAAUUGUGUCUGCGAAAUAUGGAUGGUUGCACACAUGAGCGACUCCACAACCUCGUACGCAGGGUCGACUUGUGGAGAAAAAACCCUGGUAGACGCUGGUCACGUGAUCUGCUAAAAUCUAGCAGAUUUCUAAUGAACUAUCUUUGAUUCAUACAAGAAGCAAAUUAUAAACUAAACUAUAAAAAUUACCCAAAUAUCAAAUAUUUAUUGACCUCAUCUUGGAUUUCUAAUUAAAAAUCUGCUAGAUUUUAGCAGAUCACGUGACCAGCGUCUACCAGGAUCUUUUCUCCAUAAGAGGAAAGACCCUGGGUACGAGGUUGGCGAUUCCAUUGAAUUUUCCCACUUUUUCCUCUUUCGCAGUGAGUACUAACUUCUCUUUUCUACUCACUGGUGAAGCGAAUUUUUUUCUCGCAAAGCCUAAUUUAUCUUUACUGCGCAUGUACCCAAUUUCAUUUCGCGCGAACCCGAGCGCUGAUUGGUCGGGAAGCGUGUUACGUUUCUAUAUGAAUUGUAAAGAAACAGCGGAAAAUUUGCAGCCUCGCACCUCUUUUAAAUUUCAGUGAAAAUAUAAAACAAUAUAAAUACGGACAUUUUGCGUUGUCUCAUAAUAAUAUUGUCCGCAUGACAGAGAUUGAAUGUACAUAUCUUUGCCUACUAAUUCGACAAACACCUUAAAAAUUUGAGAAUCUAUAUAUAGUUUAUUUUUGGCACGGAUAUUGUAAUUAUUUGUAUAGCGAAGGAGGAACGCCACAAAACCUGCUUCGAGAAGCAAAUUCUCCCACUGAGCUUUAGAAAUUGGUCGCGCUUCAACUCUUGUUGAUAAUUGCAUGGCAAACGGUAUACAAACAACAUAUUGUCAUUCGCCUUAUAUACUAGAUGUCAAAAUUUCCGUGACCUUAUACUGUACUGAAGUCUAUAUUUGAGUACAAAUUAAAGAACUGUGAUUACUGGGUCAACCUAUACUACAGCUUGCUGAUCUGUACAGCUCAUUAUCAGAAACUUGAAACUAUAUUGUGUUUACUUGGUUUUCUGAUGUUAGAUAAUUGUCUAUCAGCCUG